UACGGGGGGGGCAAGCGUUGUUCGGAAUUACUGGGCGUAAAGGGCGCGUAGGCGGUAGCACAAGUCAGUUGUGAAAUCUCCGGGCUUAACUCGGAAAGGUCAACUGAUACUGUGCGACUAGAGUGCAGAAGGGGCAACUGGAAUUCUCGGUGUAGCGGUGAAAUGCGUAGAUAUCGAGAGGAACACCUGCGGCGAAGGCGGGUUGCUGGGCUGACACUGACGCUGAGGCGCGAAAGCCAGGGGAGCGAACGGG
rnacentral:rRNA from 1 species